GACGAACGCUGGCGGCGUGCCUAAUACAUGCAAGUUGAGCGAUGAAGAUUGGUGCUUGCACCAAUUUGAAGAGCAGCGAACGGGUGAGUAACGCGUGGGGAAUCUGCCUUUGAGCGGGGGACAACAUUUGGAAACGAAUGCUAAUACCGCAUAAUAACUUUAAACAUAAGUUUUAAGUUUGAAAGAUGCAAUUGCAUCACUCAAAGAUGAUCCCGCGUUGUAUUAGCUAGUUGGUGAGGUAAAGGCUCACCAAGGCGAUGAUACAUAGCCGACCUGAGAGGGUGAUCGGCCACCUUGGGACUUGGACACGGCCCAAACUCCUACGGGAGGCAGCAGUAGGGAAUCUUCGGCAAUGGACGAAAGUCUGACCGAGCAACGCCGCGUGAGUGAAGAAGGUUUUCGGAUCGUAAAACUCUGUUGGUAGAGAAGAACGUUGGUGAGAGUGGAAAGCUCAUCAAGUGACGGUAACUACCCAGAAAGGGACGGCUAACUACGUG
rnacentral:rRNA from 1 species